GCGGAUAUGGCGGAAUUGGCAGACGCGCUAGUUUCAGGUACUAGUGGGGCGACCCGUGCUGGUUCAAAUCCAGUUAUCCGCACCA
rnacentral:tRNA from 1 species